GCUGAGUGUGGUGGCACAGCCUGUGGUCCCAGCUACUCUGGAGGCGGAGGAAGAUCAUUUGAGCCCAGGAGUACUGGUCUGGAGUGAGCUUAUGCCUGUUGGGUAUCUGCAGUCAGCUCGGCAUCAAUAUGGUGACCUUUCGGGAGUGGGGACCACCAAGUUGCCUAAGGAGGGGUGAACUGGCUUGGUAGGAGACAGAACAGGUAAAAACUCCCGUGCUGAUGAGCCGUGGGAUUGCAUCUGUGCAUAGCCACUGCCCUCCAGCUUGGGCAACAAGAGACAAGACCCUGUCUCCA
ensembl:misc_RNA Metazoa_SRP Metazoan signal recognition particle RNA